rnacentral:rRNA from 1 species
UGGGGAAUUUUGGACAAUGGGCGCAAGCCUGAUCCAGCCAUGCCGCGUGCGGGAAGAAGGGCCUUCGGGUUGUAAACCGCUUUUGUCAGGGAAGAAAUCUUCUGAGUUAAUACCUCGGGAGGAUGACGGUACCUGAAGAAUAAGCACCGGCUAACUACGUGCCAGCAGCCGCGGUAAUACGUAGGGUGCAAGCGUUAAUCGGAAUUACUGGGCGUAAAGCGUGCGCAGGCGGUUUUGUAAGACAGAGGUGAAAUCCCCGGGCUCAACCUGGGAACUGCCUUUGUGACUGCAAGGCUUGAGUGCGGCAGAGGGGGGAUGGAAUUCCGCGUGUAGCAGUGAAAUGCGUAGAUAUGCGGAGGAACACCGAUGGCGAAGGCAAUCCCCCUGGGCCUGCACUGACGCUCAUGCACGAAAGCGUGGGGAGCAAAACAGGAUUAGAUACCCUGGUAGUCCACGCCCUAAAACGAUGUCAACU